CGCAAGUUUUAAGCGCGUCCUGCUUAGCUGCGGGAAUUUCGCCGCCUUCCUGUCCCCGUAUUAGUCAAGACGGAAUCAGGAGAAUAUUCCCGAGCCAGGAGGUGAUACUGUUUGGUAACGUGAUUGAAGUCAUUGACGCAGGCUGGUGCACCGGGAAACGUUCUCUUUGCCUCUUUAUAACCUCUUCACAAGCGGACGAUGGAAUCAUAUUAUCGUGAGAUAGGGUUGACUGGUCGGUAAAACUUCCUGGUUUCAAAGGAGUCCCAUACGGUUCAGACUACCCUUGAAAAGAGGCGGGAAGGUUUUUAUUGGCACCUCUGG
rnacentral:ncRNA from 1 species